rnacentral:lncRNA from 1 species
GUAUUUAUUUUUUUUUUUUUUUAAGGAAGAUAAAAACAUGUAUGAUGUUUGUUUUUAAUUUAAGCAUCUUGUUUUAGUUUCAAUAACUGAAUAAUCACUUUUCUUGUUUGUAUAGAUAAUCAAUAUUCUAUUAACCACAUGCGAAUAUAGUUCAAUAAGUUUGUUUCUUGCCAAACCAAAUUGCGUUUAUCCCAACAUUCCAUUCACCAAACAGAAAACAAGUCAUUUGUAAGGUAAAUGACUAUAGGUCAUUAAUUUUGUUAUCAUGUCCAUUAUUUUGGAUGCCAAUAGAGAAACACAGAGUUUAAGGACUCAAACAAAACAGAGAGUGAGAAUGCAAGAGCCAUUCCUCAAUAGACUUCUGUCCAUGAAUCCAUCCUUUAUGAAGCCUUCAAUUCAUCCAAUCCAAAUCGAGCCUGUGUCAAAACAACAAACUUUUAAGUUCAAAGUUCCUUUAGAGAAAUAAAUAUCUUCAUCAUGGAACUGCUAUCACUGUGUGCGUGUUGGACUUUUUUUAUUUAACAAAAUAUAUAUCUCUAAAUAUGGCUUAACUAAGAACAUGAUAAUGCAGAGUUUCAGGGAUUUGGAUUCCAUGCAGUAAAUGCAUGACACAUUAAUUGAUCUUGACAGUCUGGUCUCAAAUCCAAGAUGAACAUUGUUCUCAGAUGUUUUCAUGCAGAUGUAAUCUGAUUCGACUGGUCUCAAUUAAUGUGUGUAAAUCCCUUGUUUUCAAAAUGCAAGGAAUCCAAGUCCACAGUUCAGUCUCCUUUUUCAGGCCAUGUAGAUUAAUGUCAGCAAUCAUCGUUAAUAAGCUAAAAGAAAUUUUACCAGAAACUUGUGAUUCUCUUCAAGGAAAGGAGAAAAGCUAGUACAAAAUUGCUCAAUGUCAGCAUUGAUAUCACCACCUCCAUGAAUUUCUUCCUAUCAGGAGCAAGCAUCAUCGCUACCUGUAGGUAAAAUAUUUAUGUUACAAAACCAUGUUACCAUAUACUACAUGAACACUCAUAAAAAUAGAAAACAAAUCCCUUACAGUGACGGUUGAACUAGCAAGCCAGCCAUGCCACUUCUUUAGAGUCUUGUAAUAGGAAUCAGUACAGGCUUGUGACAUUGACCAAUCUGCAUGCUCAAUUAAGUUUCGGAACACUGCCACCAAGAAAUCCAUAGCUCUGCAGAUUUUACAUGUCAGAGAAAUAAAUGUGUCAUAAAUUAAAAUACUAACAAAUUAUAUAAAGGAAACAAAUAAGCAUUUGCUGAGGCCUCUGACACGAGAAAACAAAAUCAGUAAACUACGAAUAAUUCCGAGCUUCAUAAGCUCAACAUAUAUUGAAGAAAAAUAAAAAGCUUUAUAAUUGAUGCUACUGAAAGAAUCCACCAUUGAGCUGAAAGAUUAUAAAGUAUUAUAAAUCUUCCCUAACACACCUUGAAAAAGUGACUCAUUUAGAACAAAUAGAAAUAAUAUAAAUUAUCCACGCAUAGUAAACAUUCUUGCAUGUAUGCACACAUUACUGUUCUUUAUAGAAUCUCUAUUCAUUAUGUCAAGUAUCAUGUUGCAUUUUAACUGUUCAUUUACUCAUGCAAAACAAACUCUACUUGGAACAUCACAAUGUCAAGAAAGAGUUUUCUAUGAUAACAGAUUCGAGAACACCAUACCAGUAGUAAUUAAAGUUAAGCAGUAAUUGUUUGGCAUUCAUUACCUUGUAAGCCAGAGAAGUCCGGUGGUACAACUGGAUGAUGCCUUGGCAGUUUUAGUUUCAACUUCUACUUGUACCAAACUAUACAGGCAGUUGAAUUUGGCUGGAUUAGAUAAAUAUUUGGAUUCCAAUCUCUGCGGUGAAAGUCAAAAUAGUAUAGAGUAAGAAUAUGUGGCAUCUGAAUUGUUGAAUCCAAUACAAAUUAUGUUUUUUUUCGAUAAAAAAUAUAUGUUUGGUACAUAUAAUUUGCCAAUAGUUGUACAAAAUGUAGUACAGUGUAAUUAUAUAUAUGCAAGCCAACUAAACAGGAAUUUGAAAAAUGAAUCUACACCCAGUUUACACUUCAAGGUAUAGUAUAGCCAUAUAACCAUGGUAUGUCAUCUUAAGGAAAACAAAAUACUACACUGAUCUAAAGCUGCAAGCAAUCAUAUGACAUAUAUAUACGGGAUGAAAAACACAAGAUAAAAACAGGUGAUAAAACAUACCGAUAUAUUACCACCUAUGUCAGAUUUGACAAUGGCCAUAGCAGCUCAAAACUUAUCUGCCAUAAGAAUAACACCAGUUCAGUCAACAAUGAUACAAGUGAUCAUAUUAUGGCACAUUUGACACAGACCAAGCAUCAAAUUGUAACACAAUGAUUUGCAAUCUAUCAUGUUUUACAUGUUUAAGUUGUAGAGUUUAGAUUGUAAUGAACUACUUUUACAGAUUAAAAGAUAUGUCUGUGCAUGUUUUUGAUAGAGAUGGGUUCAAGAUCCUCUUGUUUUCUAUUCCUUUUCCUCUUAAUGAAAUAUUUCCUUAAAAAAAUGAUUUCGAAACUUAAAUAACCAAGAAACAGGUUAAAAACAGUCUACAAAACGUUCACAUGCUGCUAAGGGGUAAAAAGGGAAGACGCUAUAAAUGCAGAGAUAUUGUAUAAAUUCCACAGUAUAAUUAAAGAACCAAAUUUAUACUUUAAAAUAUGACGUGCAAUCAUCGGAGUGGCCUUAUAUUAAACAUGCUAGUAUGUGUCGAAUAUAAGGAGGAGUAAGGUAAAGAAGUAGGCUCAAUAAAGAUACAGCGGUCUUUUAAGCUGCAGAUAGUGGCUAUUUAGGUUACAGGCUUCAAUGCUGCAUAGACUUGAAUUGAUUUGGAAUAAUAGAUUAAAUUUAUGGUAGUUAUAGUUUUGUUUAAUACGCAUUUGAUUAUUCAAACGGGCCAUUCUAUACUCCCCUCACAAAAUAAAACACAUCAAGAUGUCAAAUAAUCAAGUUUUCCUUUCAUUAUCCUCGUCUUGCAACAAUAACAUAUCAAAGGACGUAGAGUAAUGACCUAUAACAGGAAGUAUAUGCUUGCAAACAUCCAAGAAAGGCUGUGACAGAAUUUCUCCCUGUUCAGACUUUAUAUGCUUCAUUCCUUCCAAUGUAGGAGCGAAAACGGUCCCUUCCAUUUUUGUAUUUUGCUGCAGAUGACACAUCCAUAACUCAAUAAACAUACAAAUAAAAGUUCAACAGACCAAGGGCCUGUUUCGAUUGGCUUAUUUGUGCUUUAUUUACUGACAUAAGUUUUGUCGAUUUUCAUAAGCUUCAAACUUAUUUACAUAAGUUCUUUAAUCUAGCUUAUAAAAACAACUUAGAGCAUGUACAAAAAGAAUUUAACAUCAUUAUAUCCUUAGCUAUAAAAAUAUCUUAUUCAAGCUUAUACAUAAGCGCUUAUCAUGAUAAACACUUGUGCUAUAAACUGCAAAUAAGUUGUUUAUCCAAACUGGCCCCAAAUCAACAUAAAGCCACUCCUAUCACCCUACACAUAUAUAUUAUAUAUUCCUUUCUUUUUGACUAGAUGAUAAAUUUCGUAAUAUAAAUUCGAUAAUAAAAACACAGAUCUUUCAAAAUAUCCUAGUAAAAGGAUAGAUACAAAAGAAGCAAUUUUAUCUUAAAAUAUCCUAACAAAGCAUCAAAAUCUAAAAAUUAAGCCAGUGAGAAGCAAUUUUACAUAAUGCUUAUAGCUAAGUAUACAUAAUAACUUGCAUCUGAUCAUCACAAUUUAUUUUCCUUACAUAAUUGAACUCUAGUUUAGUGCCCAUCACCAAUGGAAAUCAAAGAACACACACAGAAUUGAGCUGCUUAUUUUAAAAUAAAUUAAAAAUCAAAACUUUACUGGGAAAAAAAAAAAUCAAAAUGAAGUUCAAUUGCAUGCCCAUGUACUAAUUUUUCAAAAUUUCACAACUUUCCAAUGCAACAAACUUUGAUCCAUUAAUUAAAUAAUUAGAAUUGAACAAUUGAAUUUCUUGUUAAACAAAACAAAAUUGCAAGUGAUAACGGCUUACAUGUGAAACAAAGUUGAAGAAUGAAGAAAAUGAAGUCAUAACGGCUUCUUUGAUCCACUUGUUCUUUUUCAUUAAGUUUACAUUGUCGGUUGACCAAAAAAAAUUACAUUGUUGGUAAUCAGUUAGAUAAGUUAGACAUGAGGUUAAAAUAAAAAUUGUGAUUAUUGAUUUUUUUUUUCUAUACAUAAAAUGCUUACAACAUUUGUUUAAUAGAAGACGCGGUUGCUCUGGCAAAAAAAAUGAAUCUUUUUAGUUGAUAAAUUAUUUCGUCACAAAUAUCAUUAAACGAUAUCAUAGUAUUAGUUAAAAAUUUAAGAGCUAUGUGAAACAAAAUGAAUUUGGUCUACGGGUGGUGUGAAUUGUUCUCAUAUUUUGGGUUGACGUGCCAAGUGUGUUAGUUAGAAGUAUCAGAACUGCCUUUUAAGGCAAUUUUGGUUUGGUUGAAAAUAAAACCUACGACAUCAAGUUUACACACCCUUCUUGUCCUGGCAAACGAAAUUACAGUUUACAGUUUACACAUCCCAUCAAGUCUGUUUUUUUCUCCCUUAAAAAUAAAGUCUUUUUUUUUUUUCUUUUCUAGCUAGAGUUCAGUUAGUGUCUUAAUGCUCAGUUGUAAACAACAGUCAUGUUCUUUCAAAAACUGAAUAAUCACUCUUCUUGCUUUUAUUGAUAAAGCUGAAAAUAAUCACUCUUCUUGUUUGUAUAGAUAAUCAAUAUUUAUAUUAACCGCAUGCGAAUAUAGUUCAAUAAGUUUGUUUCUUGCCAAACCAAAUUGCGUUUAUCCCAACAUUCCAUUCACCAAACAAAAAACAAGUCAUUUGUAAGGUAAAUGACUAUAGGUCAUUAAUUUUGUUAUCAUGUCCAUUAUUUUGGAUGCCAAUAGAGAAACACAGAGUUUAAGGACUCAAACAAAACAGAGAGUGAGAAUGCAAGAGCCAUUCCUCAAUAGACUUCUGUCCAUGAAUCCAUCCUU